AAAUUAAUUGGAAGUAAAAAAGUUGGAGGAGAGAAAAAAACGCAUCGGGCAGAGACGUAAAAAUGCAUUACUGGGUUCGAGCUUCUUCCUCUGAUUUCAGUGGAACUCUUCCGCAACCCCGCAGUGGUCAUACUGCUGUCGGCAUCGGGAAAUCGAAGGUUGUGAUAUUUGGUGGACUUGUCGAGAAGAGAUUUCUCAGGGACAUAGUAGUUUACGAUAUUGCUAAUUAGUUCGAAUAGGUGUAUCUUUGAAUUUGAAGGGUUUUAGCGGUGUGUAGGCGCGCAGAUUGACUUAGAAGUUUACGCGUUUGAUGGUUCUAUCUGUUUUUGCCAUGCUCUGUUCUGUUUUGGAAUUCUGUUGCUUGGGAGUGGCAAGUGGCAAGUAGCAUGUGGGUUGGAUGCGGUUGGACCGGAGUGGAAUUCUACUAACACUGCUUGAACUCAAAAUUUAAAUAAAGCUGCAUGCUUCAUCAUUUAAUUUAUACAUGUCAUCUAUUUAGGAACUUAAAUUAUACAUGUUUGUAUCAUCUAUUCAACCCCAUUCAUGGGAAAAAUUAAUAGGAUAUGCUUUCUCAUGUUGUAUAAUGACUAGUUGCAGAAACUCUUAUGAGGACAAGUAUUUCUUCCUCUGUGUUUCCUUACCAGUUGUAUCAUCGAAAAAAUUUCUUCUUGUGGAUCGAACAUCCUUCAAUAUUGUUUUUGAAGGUAAAGAGGCAGAUGCUAUAAUCAUAAUGCAGAACAGUUUCCAAAGUUGUUUCUUAAUCUCUCACUUCGAACUUGAAUUAUAUGGUUUUUAAGGCGUUUGGUGAGUUUUUCUAGUAAAGGGGACCCAACAUUUAAACUAGGAAUUUGUGCAGGUGAAGAAUGAAUCUUGAACUUCUCUUUGGGUAGAAAAACAUAGGAAGGUUAUUAGAGUUGAAGGAACAUAAUGAAUGAGGAAGGUGGUUGAUGCUUUUCUUGAGGGUACUGAAGAUGAUAGCAAUUGGAGGUUGUUUUUAGGGUAUGCAUGGUGAACCAGUUAUAGUUCUUGUAAUUUGUUUUCGAAAGAUUUCUGUACAGGGAAUCUUCCCUUUUCUAAUCCUUUCCCUCUCCUCUAUAACGUUUCUUUAUGUCGUCAUGCUCCCAUCAGUCAAUUUCUCAAUCAGUUGGAUGGUUUAGUCUUUUGUAAUUUGUUUUUCUCUAGAAAUCGAAGGUUAUCUAAUAACAUUAUCUCUUUACUCAACAUCUUAUAGCUUUUUAGUGUCUCCCCGCAUGUGGAUAGUAAAAUCUGGAUCUUAGAGCCUUUUAAUGUAUACUCUUACAAGUCUCUCUUUCUGCAUCUGAGCGAUAAUUCCUUUUGACACAAUGAAACUUUCAUUAAGUAAUUUUCAAAAUUUUCUAUAAGGUUAAGGUUUUGUUUAGACAACUGUUCAAGUAUCUCUGACUGGACUCAACGCCAAUGAUUAGUUGCAUAUCUCGCAGGCCUAAUUCCUCUUUUCCCCUGGAUUUCUGUUAGUGUUUCAAGGUGACCGAAUCCCAUAAUAAUCUGUUUUUCUUUUUUGAGGUGACUUGGAGGCUUUCGUACAGAUUCUGUGGUUCUAGUUAGGUUGCGUUCCCUUACCUUAAGUGUUUCUCUCUUUCCUUAAGGAAGGUGGGAAGAAGAAGGAAUUUUGUGUGCCAUGGAGAGAAACUAUUUUAAUGGGGUUUGGCCAGAUAGGGGGACACUCAUGGGGUGGCUGGUGGCUGAGGUCUGCUGCUGGCUACGAAAGCCAGUUUUAUGGGCUGGUGGCGGGUCUUUUGGUAGCUGGCUGCUGGCUGCUGGGUGGUGGUAGCCGACAAUGAAGGCGCUCCUUAGGUUUUGUGACUUAUUUUGGCAAUGAAGGCCAAAUAAAGUUUGUAAAAGAGUUUAAGGUUUUUUUUUGACCAAGAGAUAUGAGACGAUAUGGAGAAUAAAGUGUGUAUUUUAUUGAAUAAUAAGGUCCCAUAUAUACAGAUUAUAAAUAAUAAAAGGAAACACUACUAAUUAUGUGAGAGAGGUAUAUUUCUAAUGUAUCAUUUACUCUACUUACUAUGCAAAUACACUUGCCAACAGAAUCAAUAUUUUUGGAUGGUCUUUGUUGUGACCAUGGUUGUUAGCAAGCUUAAUACUAAUGAUUUGCUCCAAGCUCACGGGCUGAAUUGUACUAUAGAUCCACUUAGAGAGUGGGUUGCCAUAACCGAAUGUGUUGACAGGAAAGCCUGAAGGCUAUUCCCAUCCCUGUCAGGAGAGAUGCAACCAUCUCUCCUGUCUAUGAACACCUCACAGG